UACGUAGGGUGCAAGCGUUAAUCGGAAUUACUGGGCGUAAAGCGUGCGCAGGCGGUGAUGUAAGACAGAUGUGAAAUCCCCGGGCUCAACCUGGGAACUGCAUUUGUGACUGCAUCGCUGGAGUGCGGCAGAGGGGGGAUGGAAUUCCGCGUGUAGCAGUGAAAUGCGUAGAUAUGUGGAGGAACACCGAUGGCGAAGGCAAUCCCCUGGGCCUGCACUGACGCUCAUGCACGAAAGCGUGGGGAGCAAACAGG
rnacentral:rRNA from 1 species